GUGCUUGCUUGGGCAGCACAUAUACUAAAAUUGUGAUGAUACAGAGAAGAUUAGCAUGGCCCCUAAAUGAGGAUGACACACAAAUUAGUGAAGCAUUCCAUAUUUUA
rnacentral:snRNA from 1 species